rnacentral:tRNA from 7 species
GGAGAAGUGGCCGAGUGGUUUAAGGCAGCGGUCUUGAAAACCGUCGUGGGGAAACUCACCGUGGGUUCGAAUCCUACCUUCUCCG